AACGCACCUUGCGCCACGUGGUAUUCCACGGGGCACGCCUGUUUGAGUGUCACGUAAACCAUCGCGUCGUGAAUUGUAAUGAUUCGCGGGGCGGAUUUGGACGCUGCCGUCGUUGGCUCGUCUCGAAAUGCAUUAGCUGUCUUAUGACGCGCGCCGUUGGUGUGAUAAUUUACUUUGCGCCGCUGGUGAGCGACUUUGGAUGGCUUAUAACCGCCCGCAAGGGCAACAAACUUAACGUUUUGGCCUCAAAUCAGGUGGGACUACCCGCUGAACUUAA
rnacentral:misc_RNA from 1 species